AAAUCCUCAGAGCCAUCCGAAUAUCCACUUUCUGAUUCCACAAAAAGAGUGUUUUAAAACGGCUCUGUAAAAACAAAAGUUCAACUCUGUUAGUUGAAUACACACAUCACAAACAAGUUUCACAGAAUGCUUCUUUCUAGCUUGUAGGGGAAGAUAUUCCCUUUAUCACCAUGGGCCUCAAACCGUCCGAAACGUCCACUUCCAUAUACUACAAAAAAAACGUUUCAAACCUACUCUAUAAAAAACAAUAUUCAACUCUAUAACUUAAAU
rnacentral:misc_RNA from 1 species